GUAGUGGACAAAAAACAAAGUUUAAAAUGCACAGAGCUAAGCUGACUCUGCUUUUAGCCUCCUAAAUGAAAAGUUAGAUAGAACAGGUCUUGUUUGCAAAAUAAAUUCAAGACCUACUUAUCUACCAACAGAA
rnacentral:snoRNA from 1 species